GUAGUCCUUGCCGUAAACUAUGUAUACUUGGUGUAACCGGACUCAACCCUGGUUGUGCCGUAGCAAACGCGAUAAGUAUACCGCCUGGGGAGUACGCUCGCAAGGGUGAAACUCAAAAGAAUUGACGGGGACCCGCACAAGCAGUGGAGCAUGUGGUUUAAUUCGAUGCAACGCGAAGAACCUUACCCAGACUUGACAUGCACUAGACCGUUCCAGAAAUGGAAUUUCCCUUCGGGGCUGGUGCACAGGUGCUGCAUGGCUGUCGUCAGCUCGUGCCGUGAGGUGUUGGGUUAAGUCCCGCAACGAGCGCAACCCUUAUCAUUAGUUGCCAACACGUAAAGGUGGGAACUCUAAUGAGACUGCCCGGGUUAACCGGGA
rnacentral:rRNA from 1 species